rnacentral:rRNA from 1 species
UCAGUCGACUCCUACGGGGAGGCAGCAGUGGGGAAUAUUGCACAAUGGGGGAAACCCUGAUGCAGCCAUGCCGCGUGUGUGAAGAAGGCCUUCGGGUUGUAAAGCACUUUCAGUAGGGAGGAAGGUAGUGUAGUUAACACCUGCAUAUUUGACGUUACCUACAGAAGAAGCACCGGCUAACUCCGUGCCAGCAGCCGCGGUAAUACGGAGGGUGCGAGCGUUAAUCGGAAUUACUGGGCGUAAAGCGCAUGCAGGCGGCCUGUUAAGUCAGAUGUGAAAGCCCGGGGCUUAACCUCGGAAUUGCAUUUGAAACUGGCAGGCUAGAGUCUUGUAGAGGGGGGUAGGAAUUUCAGGUGUAGCGGUGAAAUAGCGUAGAGAUCUGAAGGAAUACCAGUGGCGAAGGCGGCCCCCUGGACAAAGACUGACGCUCAGAUGCGAAAGCGUGGGGAGCAAACAGGAUUAGAUACCCUGGUAG